AUAAGAUCAGUAUUUCUUCACAUGUAAAAAUAUGCACUAAACUUCUAUGGGAUAUUAAAAGAAUGGAGUCAACCAGAUUAACCAGGGCAUCGCUCAGCUGGAGACAGUGCUGCCACUGUUACCACUGCCACUCACCCUGCGCCCUCUCCUCACGAGCAGCGCCCUCCGGACUGGCGGCACGAAGAGGUCGGGGUCUGGCGGCGGCACGCUGCGGUCCCCCUCGCAGGCGACACCCGCCACCCACGACGCGACGGCACCCACGAUGAGUGUCAGCAGGAAUCCCAGCACGACGACCCACAGACCACUCCAUCACUCACUCCAAUUCAACCAGUGGAACAAGUGUGAGUGUAAGUAACUGAUAACCAAAUGUAAUCAAAGGCUGUUCACUUACGUACCAUUUACAAAAGACAGAACAUUUCUUGGCAGAUGCUCAUU